rnacentral:rRNA from 1 species
UACGUAGGGUGCAAGCGUUGUCCGGAAUUAUUGGGCGUAAAGAGCUCGUAGGCGGUCUGUCGCGUCUGCUGUGAAAACUCGGGGCUUAACCCCGGGCCUGCAGUGGGUACGGGCAGACUAGAGUGCGGUAGGGGAGACUGGAAUUCCUGGUGUAGCGGUGAAAUGCGCAGAUAUCAGGAGGAACACCGAUGGCGAAGGCAGGUCUCUGGGCCAUUACUGACACUGAGAAGCGAAAGCAUGGGGAGCGAACAGG